GGGGAAUUUUGGGCAAUGGCCGAAAGGCUGACCCAGCGACGCCGCGUGCGGGAGGACGCUUUUCGGAGUGUAAACCGCUGUCAGGGGGGACGAAACCCCGUCACGUGAACAGCGUGGCGGCUUGACGGUACCCUCAAAGGAAGCACCGGCUAACUACGUGCCAGCAGCCGCGGUAAUACGUAGGUGGCGAGCGUUGUCCGGAUUUACUGGGCGUAAAGGGCGUGCAGGCGGUUCGUUAAGUUCGAGGUGAAAGCUCCCGGCUCAACUGGGAGAGGUCCCCGGAUACUGGCGGACUUGAGGGAGGCAGAGGAAAGUGGAAUUCCCGGUGUAGUGGUGAUAUGCGUAGAUAUCGGGAGGAACACCAGUGGCGAAGGCGGCUUUCUGGGCCUUACCUGACGCUGAGACGCGAAAGCGUGGGGAGCGA
rnacentral:rRNA from 1 species